rnacentral:rRNA from 1 species
CCUACGGGUGGCAGCAGUGAGGAAUAUUGGUCAAUGGACGAGAGUCUGAACCAGCCAAGUCGCGUGAAGGAUGACUGCCCUUUGGGUUGUAAACUUCUUUUAUCUGGGACUAAAAUGUUCCACGUGUGGGAUUUUAUAUGUCCCAUAUGACUAAGGAUCGGCUAACUCCGUGCCAGCAGCCGCGGUAAUACGGAGGAUCCGAGCGUUAUCCGGAUUUGUUGGGUUUAAAGGGAGCGUAGGUGGGUUGUUAAGUCAGUUGGGAAAGUUUGCGGCUCAACCGGAAAAUUGCAGUUGAAACUGGCAGGCUGGAGUGCGGUAGAGGUGGGCGGAAUUCGUGGUGUAGCGGUGAAAUGCUUAGAUAUCACGAAGAACACCGAUUGCGAAGGCAGCUCACUGGAC